GUCCUGGCCUUUUUAUUAGUUAUUAGUGAACUUACACAUGCAAGAAUCCUCGUCCCUGUGAAAAUGCCCUUUAACCAUUAUUUGGUCAUAGGAGCUGGUAUCAAGCACACUCUGAAGUAGCUCAUAACACCUUGCUCAGCCACACCCCCACGGGAAACAGCAGUGAUAAAAAUUAAGCAAUAAACGAAAAUUUGACUAAGUUACACUAGUAUUAGGGCUGGUAAAUUUCGUGCCAGCCACCGCGGUCAUACGAUUAGCCCAAACUAAUAAACAAUCGGCGUAAAGUGUGUUUUAGAGUAUAAUUAAAAAUAAAGCCAAAUUUUAACCAAGCUGUAAAAAGCCUUGGUCACUGUAAGAUGCACAACAAAAGUAGCUUUAAAACUUCUGACUACACGAUAGCUAAGACCCAAACUGGGAUUAGAUACCCCACUAUGCUUAGCCCUAAACAUAGAAAAUUAUAAACAAAAUUAUUCGCCAGAGUACUACCAGCAAAAGCUAGAAACUCAAAGGACUUGGCGGUGCCUUAUAUCCUUCUAGAGGAGCCUGUUCCAUAAUCGAUAAACCCCGAUAAACCCGACCAACCUUUGCUAAGUCAGCCUAUAUACCGCCAUCUUCAGCAAACCCUAAAAAGGAAGCACAGUAAGCACAAAUAUUAACAUAAAUACGUUAGGUCAAGGUGUAGCCUAUGGGUUGGAGAAAAAUGGGCUACAUUUCCCUAGCCAAGGACAUAUUACGAAAAUUUAUGUGAAACCAUUAAUCAAAGGUGGAUUUAGUAGUAAAUUAAGAAUAGAGCGCUUAAUUGAAUAAGGCCAUGAGGCACGCACACACCGCCCGUCACCCUCCUCAAGCAAUAAAUAUAAAACAAUUCCUAAGCACUAUAUAUAAUUUGCAAGAAGAGAUAAGUCGUAACAAGGUAAGUGUACUGGAAAGUGCACUUGGAUAAUA
rnacentral:ncRNA from 1 species